GGGAGGAAAGCCCUCGGUCCCCUCGGCUCCGGGGGCGCCCGGCUGGGCCCAGCUCCGCGGGCGCGCCCCCGUCACCCCCUCCCAGGCCAGUUCAGGGCAGCGCCAAGGGGCCGCGGGCUCAGGCUGAGGCCUCCUCCUGCCUAGGCGUCUGGCGUCCGUUUGUCUGUCCGAGGCCUCAGCGCAGGUAAAGCGCGGGGCUGGGGGGCGCAGAGCUCCAUUGGGCUGGGAACCAGCGCGUCUCGUGCCCUUGGGGGACCCGCCUGCCCGAGCCGCCUGCUAAGCCUCCCGCUCCCCUCCACGCUGGAGCGCGCGGAGCCCGGUCUGCUCGGAACUCCACUCUGCGGGAGCGGAGGCCGGCGCCAGCCCGGGAAGCCGCGCAGGGGGCGGGAGGCCGAGCGCGAGGCCCUUGGCGCCGGGCCUCCGCGGCCAGGCCGGGCAGGUGAGCAGUCUCCGUGCCUCCCGGUUGGCGUUCCCCUCAACGCGUGCGGUCCCGCCGGGGCCCACUGUCUCUCCGUCCGUCUGUCUCUCAACUUUUCCCAUCCUUUAGCUUACGAUUCUUCAUCAACUCGUAAAAUGAGAUCGCCGCGGAGCUCGAGCCUAUUUGGCGUCUCCGGAGACUAGCAAGACCCUCUGAAAGACACCGCGUCCCCAGGGAUAAUCCCCCGUGUCCGGCAAAGCUGCCCCGCUCGAGCGCGAACCCUGGGACCCAGCGCGGGAGGCAGACCAGCAGCUGGCCGCUGGGCUGUGAACGCCAGGACCGAGCGGAAGCUUCCCGCCCGGCCGCGAUCGGUGCCGCGGCUCUCAGGGAAGUGGCUACGCGCGUCCCUCGGGAAAGCAGAGUAAUUUGCCUGUUUCUGGCAAAUCUGAAGAUUGGAAUGCCACACGGCCCAGCCAUUCCUUUUCCAGGCAUAUGAGAAGCCCUCACACAUGAGCAAGAAAGAGAUGUGGCCAAAGACAUUCAUGGAGCCCUGUUUGUUAAAACAGAGAAAAAGAAAUUAAGAAAUACCCAGCCUGGGCAACAUAGGGAGACCCUGUCUCUACUAAAAAUAAAAAUUUAUACUUGGGAGGCUAAGGCAGGAGGAUCACUUGAGCUCAGAAGAUCGAAGCUUGCAAUCAGCUGUGAUCGUGUCACUGCAUGCCAGCCUGGGUGACAGAGAGUGAGACCCUGUAUCAAUAAAGAAAGAAAGAAAGAAAAGAAACAGAAAUAAACUUAGGACACAGCAGACGGCCCAUCCUGAGGGUACCACAUAGCAGAUGCUGGGACCUUUUUUCAGGUGGACGCCACAUGACCUUUCCUUUGCAGGCAUCCAUGCUGAUGUUCACAAGGCACACAGCAUUUCAGCUGAAGAAAGAACUGGCAGGAUUUUCAUCACGAAAGGGCACUGUCUAUCGUUUAUGAAAAUGAAGCAUAUGAAGUAAAAGUUUGGAAACAGAUGGAAUUAAAUCUUCUGACAGAUUUUAAAAUAAGAUCUAAAAAAGAGCAAGACAUGCUCUUGGAUGGGGAAACUUAAUAUCAGAAAAAUGUCAAUUUUCCCAUUUUUUCCAUAUAAAUUUAAUGUAAUUCAAAUUCCAUUACCA
rnacentral:lncRNA from 1 species